GUCGAUUUCCCCGCCCCCGGCCUUAAUCCACCGCCCCACCCCCUCCCCAUGGUCUGCAUUUGGGCUCCAUCCGAGUGUCUUGCGUCUCUGGAGUUGGCCUGGCUGUUCCCCCAGCCUGACUCCUCCUCCCCGCGCCCUCUACCCUGGGGAGGAAAUAAAGGCAAGGCUCUUGCUUCUCUGCCUCGGAUUUCCUGCAAAAGCACAUGAAUUCCCAGCAAUACAUAUUUAUCAGGGAACAAUGAGACCAACAAAAGAACAAUGAAUGACUCAAACCUCUGUCAGCCUGGCACCGUGACUGAUGACCAGAUCCGCCACAAGAGCAGAAUCCAACCCCUCCCUCCAGGCGGUGACAACGUGAACAGACCAACCGUGUCUGGGCCAGACAAGAGGCCUGGAGUGAGGCAGCCCAGCUUGGACCUGGACUUGGCUGUGCUCCUGACCGCGCUGGCUGUGCAGCCGUCCUUAGUCAGACAGGCUGAGCAGCAAGGGCACUUCGGUCUCACAACCCUGAAGCUCAGGGGUUGCGUAGUGGGAUGGUGCCUGGGGGUCUCCAGUCCCUGCCCACCCUUGCAGCGCUGUCAUCCUCGGGCAAUGGGCAGAUGGCACCAGCAUCCCCAGACUCAAAUCCAGGCAACAUCAAAGGGUGUCUGGAAGGCGUUUGGAGGUGGAGACUGGGCCAGUCUGUGAGCGCCGUGGUGCAACUAGGGCAGGACCCAGAGUGUUCCGGAAUGAGCGGCCUCGGACCCUUGGUGCGGAAGGUUCUUCACCGAGCGCCCUGCGGCUGGGUACAAGUGGCUCCUCUCCAGCCCGGAGAGUCUGGAUGAAAACCAAGCCUGCACCGUUCUCUGUGUCUGGGGAAACCACAUGGGUAUUAAAGGUUAGAUCUUCUGAAGCAAAGGAACGUUGGCCUCUCUGGUCAUUUUGUACUGAACUCUUUCUCCAUAAGACUUUGGUCAAGGCGGAGAAAAUCUGCUAACAGGACGGAGUUCCCAGCCGCAGCCCACUUUGACGGCAGCUCCUUCUGAGCUGAGCACCCAGGUCCCGCACUCGGGGCUUAGCGGGGAGGCGGUGCUGCUGGUCCAUCCACACUCCCCUUCAGCCCGUG
rnacentral:lncRNA from 1 species